GCCCGGGUGGCGAAACUGGCAGACGCAGCGGACUUAAAAUCCGCGGCCCCAUCGCGGGGUGUACGGGUUCGAGUCCCGUCCCGGGCACCA
rnacentral:tRNA from 1 species